rnacentral:rRNA from 1 species
UGGGGAAUAUUGCACAAUGGGGGAAACCCGUACGAUGCAGCGACGCCGCGUGGAGGAAGAAGGUCUUCGGAUUGUAAACUACCUGUUGUUGAGGAAGAUAAUGACGGUACUCAACAAAGGAAGUGACGGCUAACUACGUGCCAGCAGCCGCGGUAAAACGUAGGUCACAAGCGUUGUCCGGAAUUACUGGGUGUAAAGGGAGCGCAGGCGGGAGAACAAGUUGGAAGUGAAAUCCAUGGGCUCAACCCAUGAACUGCUUUCAAAAACUAGUUUUUCUUGAGUAGUGCAGAGGUAGGCGGAAUUCCCGGUGUAGCGGUGGAAUGCGUAGAUAUCGGGAGGAACACCAGUGGCGAAGGCGGCCUACUGGGCACCAACUGACGCUGAGGCUCGAAAGUGUGGGUAGCAAACAGGAUUAGAUACCCCGGU